AUGCAUGGCGCUGUCCGCAAGUACAUGAUGCUACAAGAUCUCGAUGUCCAGGUGAAGGAUUGGAUAUCACUCGUGAGGGAGCUGGCCUAUGACAUCGAGGAUGUCAUUGUCAAGUUCAUCCACCAGCUCGGUAAUGAGGGCCAGCACCAGGGUGGCUUCAAGGAGUUCUUCCGCGAGACUGCUCGCCGGCUCAAGACGUUAGGUUCUCGUCACGGAAUCACCAGCCAGAUCGACGAUCUGAAAAUUCGUCUCAAGGAGGUAAAAGAGUUGAAGAGUAGUUACAAGCUGGAUGAUAUUCCCUUUGAACAUUUGGUUGUGGAUCCCCGCUUGUCUGCUCUUUUUGUUGAGGAAGCACACCUCAUGGGCAUUGAUGGUCCAAGAGAUAACCUUGCCAGUUGGAUGCUGAUAGAUGAAAAUAGCUUCACAAAGCAUCGCAAGGUUUUGUCCAUUGUUGGCUUUCGUGGUUUGGGAAAAACGACACUGGCGAGAGAGGUCUACCGCAAGAUCCAAGGGCAUUUCCAUUGUUGGGCUUUUGUCUCUAUCUCACAAAAGCCUAAUGUGAAGAAAAUUAUGAAGGAUUUGAUCUCCCAGAUGCCUUGCAAGAAAGAUUUUAUAGAAGGUAUCGACACCUGGGAUGAAACGAUAUGUAUUGCGAAGCUAAGAGAGCUCUUAAAAGAUAAGAGGUAUCUCAUUGUUAUUGAUGAUAUAUGGUCCAUAUCAGCAUGGGAUGCUAUUAAGCAUGCUUUCCCAGAGAAUGAUUUUUGUAGCAGAAUUAUUGCAACUACACGCAAUGUUGAUGUAGCAAGAUCAUGUUGUCAAGGUGGUAAUGGUCGCAUGUAUGAAAUGGAAGCCCUGAGUGAUCUCCAGUCCAAAAGAUUGUUUUUCAAAAGAAUAUUUGGUUCCGAGGACUGUUGCCCUAAUGUGCUAAAACAAAGUUCAAAUAAAAUACUGAAGAAAUGUGGAGGCCUCCCAUUGGCAAUUAUCAGCAUAUCAAGUUUAUUGGCAAACAGAUCAGUGGUCAAAUAUGAGUGGGAGAGAGUUGGAAGGUCCAUUGGUUCUGCAUUGGACAAAAACCGAAGCUUAGAUGCAAUGAAUAGCAUACUAUCCCUUAGCUAA
rnacentral:rRNA from 1 species